rnacentral:rRNA from 1 species
AGAGUUUGAUCAUGGCUCAGAACGAACGCUGGGCGGCAUGCCUAACACAUGCAAGUCGAACGGGAUCCGGACUUCGGUCCGGUGAGAGUGGCGGACGGGUGAGUAACACGUGGGAACCUGCCUUUUUGGUUCGGGAUAACCGCGGGAAACUGCGGCUAAUACCGGAUGCUCCCGAGAGGGAAAAGAUUUAUCGCCAGAAGAGGGGCCCGCGUCCGAUUAGGUAGUUGGUGGGGUAAUGGCCUACCAAGCCGACGAUCGGUAGCUGGUCUGAGAGGAUGAUCAGCCACACUGGGACUGAGAUACGGCCCAGACUCCUACGGGGAGGCAGCAGGUGGGGAAUUAUUGGACAAUGGGGGCAACCCUGAUCCAGCAAUGCCGCGUGAGUGAUGAAGGCCUUAGGGUUGUAAAGCUCUUUUGCCAGGGAAGAUGAUGACUGUACCUGGAGAAUAAGCCCCGGCUAACUUCGUG